GACGAACGCUGGCGGCGUGCUUAACACAUGCAAGUCGAACGGAAAGGCCCUGCUUUUGUGGGGUGCUCGAGUGGCGAACGGGUGAGUAACACGUGAGUAACCUGCCCUUGACUUUGGGAUAACUUCAGGAAACUGGGGCUAAUACCGGAUAGGAGCUCCUGCUGCAUGGUGGGGGUUGGAAAGUUUCGGCGGUUGGGGAUGGACUCGCGGCUUAUCAGCGUGUGGGUGGGGUAGUGGCUUACCAAGGCUUUGACGGGUAGCCGGCCUGAGAGGGUGACCGGACACAUUGGGACUGAGAUAAGGCCCAGACUCCUACGGGAGGCAGCAGUGGGGAAUAUUGCACAAUGGGCGGAAGCCUGAUGCAGCAACGCCGCGUGCGGGAUGACGGCCUUCGGGUUGUAACCCGCUUUCGCCUGUGACGAAGCGUGAGUGACGGUAAUGGGUAAAGAAGCACCGGCUAACUACGUG
rnacentral:rRNA from 1 species